AACGUGCUCCGGGGUCGGUGAGAAUCCGAACCGGCGGUGACAGUCCGCGAGCGGGACCUCUGGUCCUGCUGACCCGGUGGAAUUCCGGAACCGACGGUGAUGCGACGCAAGUCGCUAGUCCGGAUGGGAGGCAGCACGGA
rnacentral:ncRNA from 1 species